UUGUGGUGUAACGGUAGCACACUCGACGCAUAACUCGAGAGGUCCAGGUUCGAGUCCCGGCGA
rnacentral:tRNA from 1 species